UGCAGCGAUCCCCCUGCCUCAGCCUCCUGAGUGCUGGGAUUACAGGGGAGGGGACGGAUAAGGAACCUCAGGGACCUAAUCAGUGGCGUCUUACAGGAACUCGGUGUGUUUGGAGAACACAAUGGCCUGGGACAAAGUCUGUGAGGUUCAGGGGCCAGAGGGACGCAGUUUUCCCACCCCUGCUUCCCACACCACCUGGCAUCUGGACACAGGAUUGGGUAUGGAAGCUGCCUCCUUCCCGCGGGAAUGACUACUGAGAUGCUGCCAUGAGCGCCUGGCCCAAUCUGUCCUGUCCUGGGAGGACCCUCCCUUUUCCAGGAUGAGCACAGCGUCCACUUUCCCUGGGACGGUCCCCUCCUUCACCCUGGAAGUUCUCCAACAUCCUUGAUUACUGGGGUUGAGCUCACCGUCCCCCGACUGAGCUUCCUAAUUCUCCCAUCCCAGGGGUUUCCUCCAUUCGUACAGCUCUGACAAAGACUUGCCAAGGAUUCAGUCUUGUCUGCCAGUGUCCCUCAAGGAAAAAAAAAAUUUUGGGGGCUGGGGGGACAG